UUUCUUCCUUCCAGACGAGCCUCGAAAACUACCAAAAAGACUUGAAGGAGAAGCUGCGAGACAAGGAUAAGGAGGUUGAGGAGAAGGAAAUCGACAUUGCUUCUUUGAAGGACGCUCUUGCGAAGAAGGAAGAUGAAAUAAGCGCAGUUAAGACGAGCCACGAAGAAGACCAAAAAGACCUGCAAGAGAAGCUGCGAGAAAAGGAUGAGAAGG